UGCUAUCUUGUCAAGUUCAGCACUAUCCCCUUCCGUGGUGGGGCUGACCUGUAUGGCUGCCAAAAGACUAUCUGUAGCUCAUGGGCCUCGCGUGUCUCUAGGCACUGGAAAUAAACAAGACAGUGAGUG
rfam:Alligator mississippiensis ScZkoYb_636, whole genome shotgun sequence.